CGGGAGAGAUCGUCAAAACCAGAGGCAAAAAGUAUAUCAAGAACACAAGCGAUAUUCUCGAAACUGAAUAUCACUUUGGUUUGUGACAAACUGUUUGCCUUUGGUUUUGGCGCGUUCUCCCGAU
rnacentral:miRNA from 1 species